rnacentral:rRNA from 1 species
AGCCCAACCUCCCACCCGUGUUUACUGUACCUUAUUGCUUCGGCGGGCCCGCCAUUCAUGGCCGCCGGGGGCUCUCAGCCCCGGGCCCGCGCCCGCCGGAAACACCACGAACUCUGUCUGAUCUAGUGAAGUCUGAGUUGAUUGUAUCGCAAUCAGUUAAAACUUUCAACAAUGGAUCUCUUGGUUCCGGCAUCGAUGAAGAACGCAGCGAAAUGCGAUAACUAGUGUGAAUUGCAGAAUUCCGUGAAUCAUCGAGUCUUUGAACGCACAUUGCGCCCCCUGGUAUUCCGGGGGGCAUGCCUGUCCGAGCGUCAUUGCUGCCCAUCAAGCACGGCUUGUGUGUUGGGUCGUCGUCCCCUCUCCGGGGGGGACGGGCCCCAAAGGCAGCGGCGGCACCGCGUCCGAUCCUCGAGCGUAUGGGGCUUUGUCACCCGCUCUGUAGGCCCGGCCGGCGCUUGCCGAACGCAAAUCAAUCUUUUUCCAGGUUGACCUCGGAUCAGGUAGGGAUACCCGCUGAACUUAAGCAUAUCAAUAAGCGGAGGAGGAUCAUUACCGAGUGUAGGGUUCCUAGCGAGCCCAACCUCCCACCCGUGUUUACUGUACCUUAGUUGCUUCGGCGGGCCGCCAUUCAUGGCCGCCGGGGGCUCUCA